UACGAAGGGGGCUAGCGUUGUUCGGAAUUACUGGGCGUAAAGCGCACGUAGGCGGACAUUUAAGUCAGGGGUGAAAUCCCGGGGCUCAACCCCGGAACUGCCUUUGAUACUGGGUGUCUUGAGUGUGGAAGAGGUCGGUGGAAUUGCGAGUGUAGAGGUGAAAUUCGUAGAUAUUCGCAGGAACACCAGUGGCGAAGGCGGCCGUCUGGUCCACAACUGACGCUGAGGUGCGAAAGCGUGGGGAGCAAACAGG
rnacentral:rRNA from 1 species